rnacentral:rRNA from 1 species
GCAUGUCUAAGUAUAAGCAAUUUAUACAGUGAAACUGCGAAUGGCUCAUUAAAUCAGUUAUCGUUUAUUUGAUAGUACCUUUACUACUUGGAUAACCGUGGUAAUUCUAGAGCUAAUACAUGCUAAAAAUCCCGACUGUUUGGAAGGGAUGUAUUUAUUAGAUAAAAAAUCAAUGCUUUUCGGAGCUCUUUGAUGAUUCAUAAUAACUUUUCGAAUCGCAUGGCCUUGUGCUGGCGAUGGUUCAUUCAAAUUUCUGCCCUAUCAACUUUCGAUGGUAGGAUAGUGGCCUACCAUGGUUUCAACGGGUAACGGGGAAUAAGGGUUCGAUUCCGGAGAGGGAGCCUGAGAAACGGCUACCACAUCCAAGGAAGGCAGCAGGCGCGCAAAUUACCCAAUCCCGACACGGGGAGGUAGUGACAAUAAAUAACGAUACAGGGCCCUUUCGGGUCUUGUAAUUGGAAUGAGUACAAUGUAAAUACCUUAACGAGGAACAAUUGGAGGGCAAGUCUGGUGCCAGCAGCCGCGGUAAUUCCAGCUCCAAUAGCGUAUAUUAAAGUUGUUGCAGUUAAAAAGCUCGUAGUUGAACCUUGGGCUUGGUUGGCCGGUCCGCCUUUUUGGCGAGUACUGGACCCAACCGAGCCUUUCCUUCUGGCUAACCUUUCGCCCUUGUGGUGUUUGGCGAACCAGGACUUUUACUUUGAAAAAAUUAGAGUGUUCAAAGCAGGCCUUUGCUCGAAUAUAUUAGCAUGGAAUAAUAGAAUAGGACGUUAUGGUUCUAUUUUGUUGGUUUCUAGGACCAUCGUAAUGAUUAAUAGGGACGGUCGGGGGCAUCAGUAUUCAGUUGUCAGAGGUGAAAUUCUUGGAUUACCUGAAGACUAACUACUGCGAAAGCAUUUGCCAAGGACGUUUUCAUUAAUCAAGAACGAAAGUUAGGGGAUCGAAGAUGAUCAGAUACCGUCGUAGUCUUAACCAUAAACUAUGCCGACUAGGGAUCGGGUGUUGUUCUUUUUUGACGCACUCGGCNCCUUACGAGAAAUCAAAGUCUUNNGNNNCUGGGGGGG